rnacentral:rRNA from 1 species
UAAAAAAAGGUAAGCUACUAAGAGCGAAUGGUGGAUGCCUUGACUGGUAAAGGCGAUGAAGGACGUACUAGACUGCGAUAAGCUACGGGGAGCUGUCAAGAAGCUUUGAUCCGUAGAUUUCCGAAUGGGGCAACCCAAUGUAUAGAGAUAUACAUUACCUAUAUAGGAGCGAACGAGGGGAAUUGAAACAUCUUAGUACCCUCAGGAAAAGAAAUCAAUAGAGAUUGCGUCAGUAGCGGCGAGCGAAAGCGCAAGAGGGCAAACCCAGUGCUUGCACUGGGGGUUGUAGGACUGCAAUGUGCAAGAGCUGAGUUUAGCAGAACAUUCUGGAAAGUAUAGCCAUAGAGGGUGAUAGUCCCGUAUGCGAAAAACAAAGCUUAGCUAGCAGUAUCCUGAGUAGGGCGGGACACGAGGAAUCCUGUCUGAAUCCGGGUCGACCACGAUCCAACCCUAAAUACUAAUACCAGAUCGAUAGUGCACAAGUACCGUGAGGGAAAGGUGAAAAGAACUGAGGUGAUCAGAGUGAAAUAGAACCUGAAACCAUUUGCUUACAAUCAUUCAGAGCACUAUGUAGCAAUACAGUGUGAUGGACUGCCUUUUGCAUAAUGAGCCUGCGAGUUGUGGUGUCUGGCAAGGUUAAGCAAACGCGAAGCCGUAGCGAAAGCGAGUCUGAAUAGGGCGCUUAGUCAGAUGCUGCAGACCCGAAACGAAGUGAUCUAUCCAUGAGCAAGUUGAAGCUAGUGUAAGAACUAGUGGAGGACUGAACCCAUAGGCGUUGAAAAGCCCCGGGAUGACUUGUGGAUAGGGGUGAAAGGCCAAUCAAACUUCGUGAUAGCUGGUUCUCUCCGAAAUAUAUUUAGGUAUAGCGUUGUGUCGUAAUAUAAGGGGGUAGAGCACUGAAUGGGCUAGGGCAUACACCAAUGUACCAAACCCUAUCAAACUCCGAAUACCUUAUAUGUAAUCACAGCAGUCAGGCGGCGAGUGAUAAAAUCCGUCGUCAAGAGGGAAACAACCCAGACUACCAGCUAAGGUCCCUAAAUCUUACUUAAGUGGAAAACGAUGUGAAGUUACUUAAACAACCAGGAGGUUGGCUUAGAAGCAGCCAUCCUUUAAAGAAAGCGUAAUAGCUCACUGGUCUAGUGAUUUUGCGCGGAAAAUAUAACGGGGCUAAAGUAAGUACCGAAGCUGUAGACUUGCACACAACUUAGAUUAUUUAAGUUUAGAAUAUGAGAAACUAAGUUAUAUGUUUAGUUAUAUUUUUACUGAUUUUUAUAGAGUAAAGAUAGAAAUAAAACUUAGUAAAAUCAGUAAAAAUAUUCUUAGGCUAAAGUUAAGUAGUUUAAGUUGUGUGCAAGUGGUAGGAGAGCGUUCUAUUUGCGUCGAAGGUAUACCGGUAAGGAGUGCUGGAGCGAAUAGAAGUGAGCAUGCAGGCAUGAGUAGCGAUAAUUAAUGUGAGAAUCAUUAACGCCGUAAACCCAAGGUUUCCUACGCGAUGCUCGUCAUCGUAGGGUUAGUCGGGUCCUAAGUCGAGUCCGAAAGGGGUAGACGAUGGCAAAUUGGUUAAUAUUCCAAUACCAACAUUAGUGUGCGAUGGAAGGACGCUUAGGGCUAAGGGGGCUAGCGGAUGGAAGUGCUAGUCUAAGGUUGUAGGAGGUUAUACAGGCAAAUCCGUAUAACAAUACUCCGAGAACUGAAAGGCUUUUUGAAGUCUUCGGAUGGAUAGAAGAACCCCUGAUGCCGUCGAGCCAAGAAAAGUUUCUAAGUUUAGCUAAUGUUGCCCGUACCGUAAACCGACACAGGUGGGUGGGAUGAGUAUUCUAAGGCGCGUGGAAGAACUCUCUUUAAGGAACUCUGCAAAAUAGCACCGUAUCUUCGGUAUAAGGUGUGGUUAGCUUCGUACUAGGAUUUACUCCGAAAGCGAAGAAACUUACAACAAAGAGUCCCUCCCGACUGUUUACCAAAAACACAGCACUCUGCUAACUCGUAAGAGGAUGUAUAGGGUGUGACGCCUGCCCGGUGCUCGAAGGUUAAUUGAUGGGGUUAGCAUUAGCGAAGCUCUUGAUCGAAGCCCGAGUAAACGGCGGCCGUAACUAUAACGGUCCUAAGGUAGCGAAAUUCCUUGUCGGUUAAAUACCGACCUGCAUGAAUGGCGUAACGAGAUGGGAGCUGUCUCAAAGAGGGAUCCAGUGAAAUUGUAGUGGAGGUGAAAAUUCCUCCUACCCGCGGCAAGACGGAAAGACCCCGUGGACCUUUACUACAGCUUGACACUGCUACUUGGAUAAGAAUGUGCAGGAUAGGUGGGAGGCUUUGAGUAUAUGACGCCAGUUGUAUAUGAGCCAUUGUUGAGAUACCACUCUUUCUUAUUUGGGUAGCUAACCAGCUUGAGUUAUCCUCAAGUGGGACAAUGUCUGGUGGGUAGUUUGACUGGGGCGGUCGCCUCCCAAAUAAUAACGGAGGCUUACAAAGGUUGGCUCAGAACGGUUGGAAAUCGUUCGUAGAGUAUAAAGGUAUAAGCCAGCUUAACUGCAA